rnacentral:lncRNA from 1 species
CUCAGGUCUGUGACAGGAGUCAGUUUUAGGUGUUUCAAAAUGGAGAGUAAAAUGUCCCUGACUGCACCCAAAUGUCCAUAUUCAGCUUGUUCUACUCAGGUGAACCAGUUUCCAGAAAUGGGACAAACACAGAGCUGGACUUUUUGCCUGCUGGGAGAAAUAUCCUCUGGGAUAAAAGCUGGUUCCAGAAUGGGUUCCUGGCUGCAGGAUGUAGGCUGGCUCUGCAGGCUGUGGCCAGGAUGCUGCUCUGCUUGCUGAUCCAACAGCCUGGCAGUUUGUGCACAACACAGCAUGUGGCAGCCCUGUUAGGAGCCAGAGCGCAACUGCACAUUUAUUUUACUACCUUGUUAAACCAGAAUAUUUCAUUGCUACUGACAGAGCUCUAGGCAAGAGUCUGCACGCAAAACUUCUUGGGAAAAUUCCCUGGGAAAGGAAUUUCAGAAAACCAAAACGUCUCAGGCACAAACCAGGGCUACAAACUGCCAAGAAAAUGUAAUUAUUUUUGAUUUUUGCCAUUGUAUG